rnacentral:rRNA from 1 species
CUAUACAUGACUCUGUGCAUAUCAAUAAGCGGAGGAAAAGAAACUAACAAGGAUUCCCCUAGUAACGGCGAGUGAAGCGGGAAGAGCUCAAAUUUGAAAUCUUAAAGGGUUUCCCUUUACGAAUUGUAGUUUAAAGAAGUGUUUUCUGUUGAGGUUUUGGUAAAAGUUCUUUGGAAUAGGACAUCAUAGAGGGUGAGAAUCCCGUAUUUGACCUUUACUUUCAACUUUGUGAUACACUUUCAAAGAGUCGGAUUGUUUGGGAAUGCAGUCCAAAAUGGGUGGUAAAUUUCAUCUAAAGCUAAAUAUUGGCGAGAGACCGAUAGCGAACAAGUACCGUGAGGGAAAGAUGAAAAGAACUUUGAAAAGAGAGUUAAACAGUACGUGAAAUUGUCAAAAGGGAAGCGUUUGACACCAGUGUUGUUUUUCUGAAAAUCAAUUAAAGAACUGUUUAUGCUAAGUUGUUUAGACUUUAUCAGCUAACUGUUUAGUUUUGAGCUUUUCUUUAAUGCACUUUUCAGUUAACAAGUCAACAUCAAUUUCUUUUGCUGUAAAAAAGCUUGAGGAAGGUGGCUUGAGAUUCGUCUUAAGUGUUUAUAGCCUCUUGCCUAUGCAGUCGGAGAGAUUGAGGUCUGCAGCGUAGAUCCUUCGGGGCUAAAUGCAUUUGUGCUAAGUUAUAGCAUUUUAUAGACAACUUGUUGACUAUGAUUUGUCUUGUAGCUUACUCGCUUAUGCUAUUUUACCUACGCUUAGGAUGUUGACAGCAGUAUAGACUGU